UCUCUGUGAUGAUGAACAAUUGAUGUCGAGUCUGAAUCAUUCCAUUCUUAACCCUGAUGACAUAUCGAGGCAUUUGUCUGAGAGGA
rfam:Medicago truncatula strain A17 chromosome 5, whole genome shotgun sequence.